rnacentral:rRNA from 1 species
UACGUAGGGGGCAAGCGUUUGUCCGGAAUCAUUGGGCGUAAAGCGCGUGUAGGCGGCUUGGUAAGUCUGCUCUGAAAGCCCGGGCUCAACCCCGGGAGGCGGGUGGAUACUGUCAAGCUCGAGUCCGGAAGAGGAGUGUGGAAUUCCUGGUGUAGCGGUGAAAUGCGCAGAUAUCAGGAGGAACACCAAUGGCGAGGCAGCACUCUGGGACGUGACUGACGCUGAGACGCGAA